rnacentral:rRNA from 1 species
AGAGUUUGAUCAUGGCUCAGAUUGAACGCUGGCGGCGUGCCUAACACAUGCAAGUCGAGCGGUAACAGGUGUAGCAAUACAUGCUGACGAGCGGCGAACGGGUGAGUAAUGCUUUGGAAUCUUCCCAGUAGUGGGGAAUAACCAGUCGAAAGAUUGGCUAAUACCGCAUACGUCUGUAAAGGGAAAGCGGGCGCUCGUAAGACCUCGCGCUAUUGGAUGAGCCAAAGUCGGAUUAGCUAGUUGGUGGGGUAAUGGCCUACCAAGGCGACAAUCCGUAGCUGGUCUGAGAGGACGACCAGCCACACCGGAACUGAGACACGGUCCGGACUCCUACGGGAGGCAGCAGUGGGGAAUAUUGGACAAUGGGGGAAACCCUGAUCCAGCGACGCCGCGUGUGUGAAGAAGGCCUGCGGGUUGUAAAGCACUUUUAGUGGGGACAAAAAGCUACGGAUUAAUACUCUGUGGUCUUGAUUUAACCCAAAGAAAAAGCACCGGCUAACUCUGUGCCAGCAGCCGCGGUAAUACAGAGGGUGCGAGCGUUAAUCGGAAUUACUGGGCGUAAAGCGCGCGUAGACGGUUUUGUAAGUCAGAUGUGAAAUCCCUGGGCUCAACCUGGGAACUGCAUUUGAAACUGCAUGGCUAGAGUAUCGAAGAGGGAAGUGGAAUUUCCGGUGUAGCGGUGAAAUGCGUAGAUAUCGGAAGGAACACCAGUGGCGAAAGCGACUUCCUGGUCGAAUACUGACGUUCAUGUGCGAAAGCGUGGGGAGCAAACAGGAUUAGAUACCCCCGUAGUCC